GAUGAACGCUGGCGGCGUGCUUAACACAUGCAAGUCGAACGAAACAUUUGCGACAGAUUGUUUCGGAAUGAAGUUGCUUAUGACUGAGUGGCGUACGGGUGAGUAACGCGUGGGUAACCUGCCUUGUACUGGGGGAUAGCAGCUGGAAACGGCUGGUAAUACCGCAUAAGCGCACAAUGUUGCAUGACAUGGUGUGAAAAACUCCGGGGGUAUAAGAUGGACCCGCGUCUGAUUAGCUAGUUGGUGAGAUAACAGCCCACCAAGGCGACGAUCAGUAGCCGAUCUGAGAGGGUGACCGGCCACAUUGGGACUGAGACACGGCCCAGACUCCUACGGGAGGCAGCAGUGGGGAAUAUUGCACAAUGGAGGAAACUCUGAUGCAGCCACGCCGCGUGAGUGAAGAAGUAAUUCGUUAUGUAAAGCUCUAUCAGCAGGGAAGAUAGUGACGGUACCUGACGAAGAAGCCCCGGCUAACUACGUG
rnacentral:rRNA from 1 species